rnacentral:rRNA from 1 species
CCUACGGGAGGCAGCAGUGGGGAAUCUUGUGCAAUGGACGAAAGUCUGACACAGCCACGCCGCGUGCGGGAAGAAGGCCUUCGGGUUGUAAACCGCUUUCAGCAGGAACGAAAAUGACGGUACCUGCAGAAGAAGAUGCGGCCAACUACGUGCCAGCAGCCGCGGUGAUACGUAGGCAUCAAGCGUUGUCCGGAUUUAUUGGGCGUAAAGAGCUCGUAGGCGGUUCAGCAAGUCGGGUGUGAAAACUCUGGGCUUAACCCAGAGCCUGCACUCGAAACUGCUGUGACUAGAGUUCGGUAGGGGAGCAGGGAAUUCCUAGUGUAGCGGUGAAAUGCGCAGAUAUUAGGAGGAACACCAAUGGCGAAGGCACUGCUCUGGGCCGAUACUGACGCUGAGGAGCGAGAGCGUGGGUAGCAAACAGGAUUAGAUACCCUGGUAGUCCACGCCGUAAACGAUGGGCACUAGGUGUGGGUCUCUAACCAACGAGAUCUGCGCCGUCGCUAACGCAUUAAAGUGCCCCGCCUGGGGAGGACGGUCGUCGAGAACGUUAAACUAACAAAUUAGAAGUUAGAGGCGNGAGAGNGCGACGGACGACGACGAGGAGGAGG